UACGUAGGUGACAAGCGUUGUCCGGAUUGACUGGGCGUAAAGCGCACGCAGGCGGUUUCGCGCGUGGGGUGUGAAAUCUGGCCGCUUAACGGCCAGGCGCCAUCCCAUACGGCGCGACUGGAGGGCUGCAGAGGUCGAUGGAAUUGCCGGUGUAGUGGUGAAAUGCGUAGAGAUCGGCAGGAACACCCAGGGGGAAACCAGUCGACUGGGCAGCACCUGACGCUGAGGUGCGAGAGCGUGGGGAGCGAACCGG
rnacentral:rRNA from 1 species